AUGCCAGGCUCCCUUGGGGUUCUCAGCUGCACUCCUCCCCUCAGCCUCAGCGCCUCGCGCUCCGCAGUCGGCUGGCAGGCGAGCUGCUCCCGAACGAGGGCUGUGCACCAACAGCGACGACAAAACACUCAAAUCGCUUCAAGCUGUUGGUUCAGAGCCGCGGAGUCCGCGGAAAACAAACAAACACAAGCUCGAGAGCGUCGUGGCGCCUCGUGGCAGCUGAAGCGAGCGAUGCCGCGUGCUCGGCGGGCGAAGGGUUGGCGGCGGCGUGAGGCCGUGGGGCCCCCCCAGCACCCCCCUCCGUGGUGUGCACACAGCCGCCCCCACGCCACACCAGGCACACCCCGGACGGCUCCCUGUCACACCCGGAACCCAGGAGCCAGGCGGGGCGGAACCCUUUUCCCGGGUGGGGGGCAGUUUUUUCCAGCAGCCCCUAACCAGGACCCAGAGGGGAGCUGGGCCCCUGGCGUUGUUUUGCCCCUGCCCCUGGGGCCCCCUUCCCAGGUGCCCCCCCCCGGGGGGGGGGGGGGGGAGCUUCACAACAGAGGUCCUAGAAGCCGCAAGUCUAACUCAGGGUCUCAGCAGGACCGAGCUCCUCCCGAGGCUGCAGGGCAGGGUCCUUCCUGCCCCUCUGGCUCCUGGGGCUGCAGCGUCCGGGGCUGUGGCCACGUCGUCCCAAGCCCUGCUUCUGUCUUCACACGGGCCCCUCUGUCUGUCUCUCCUCCAGAUGUUAUCGGACACCUGUCAUCGGAUUUGAGACCCACCCAGGGAAUCCAGGGUGGUCUCCUCAUCAUAAGCGCUGGGGACCCGGGAGCACCAAGUCCCCCUCAGACCCUGAGGCCACGUGGUGGGAGAGCAGCGGCCUCCCCAGAGGCCAGCACAAGAGGCUGUGGGUGGGGUGGGUGCCUCCAGAUGGGGCUCUCCGGAGCCCCUGGGCUCUGGUCCAGCUGUGGCCGUGGCCGAGGGCAGAUGACAGGGGGCAGACACACACAGGUGGAGGGACUGGGCCGACGGGCACCCCGUGCUGCUCCUCAGGGCAGCCUUGCUACAGGGGCCACCGCCGUCACGUGGCGCCAAGCCCAUGGGUCUGUGCUCCGUUGUCCCUUCCUGGUGCCUGGUUCCCACCCGCCAGCCCCCAUCUCUGACAGGUGCACCACCCAACAGUGAUCAGACCCAGAAUGAGAGCAUUUAAAGUGGGAGGGGUCCCAUUGUUUUAAAAUGUGGGUGUUGUAAAAGACAGCCAGUGUGGAGACAUUCGGGGCGACAGGGAAAGGGAGAGGAAGAGGAGGGCGCUGCCCGGCCCUGCUGAGUGUGCAGAGCCACCUGCCCGCUGGCCCUCGUGUGAACGCUCACGCCCCACAAGCAGACGUCAGCAGGGAAGGAAGGGACGCUCUGGGUCCAUCCCCAGACGGGGAACAAAGUGCCCAUGGACGGUGUGCACGAGCCUCACAAACAAGCUGAGUGAAGGACGCGAAGGAAAACCCACUCUGUGGGUCCACCCGAGGGACUCCCGGAGCAAGGAGUGAACACAGAGACUGAGCAGAAGGGAGGGGAAGUGGAAUCAUCAUGGGUGGG
rnacentral:lncRNA from 12 species